AAUGGCGUCUAUUGGAAAACUAUGUAGUACUUGUUAGGAAAGAAAACAUUAAAAACGCUCCCGAAAUGCCAGGAAGGCAAGUGUACUUGUUACAACAUCUGAACAAUACGAUUUUUCCUCUAAGUAUCAAACAUGUUAUCUUAUAAUAUUUAGUUAUUUUGCAUCACCCUAUAUUAAGUAAUUUUCGAACAAUUAGACCUAACGACGAUACCGCUUCAAAAACGAACAAUUUAUUGUUCUCCAAUAUGAAUUUCGACUUUAAAGACGUAAUUUAUAUAGCGGCGAUUUUAUACUGUAGGAGUUACAAGAAAUGUAAAUGUCUUUAUCAUGUAACUUAAAUUCUGUUCUGCGAGCAACAUUUAUAAUAAUAACAACACAUUGAAAGUUAAAUAAGUUGUGCAUACCUAAACAGAAAUAAUCAAAACUUUUAAACAAUGUUAGUAAUUAUUUUUGUAGACAAUGUUUUAAAAAAGCAGUCUGUACACACUUCCUUGGGAGGCAUAUUAAAACCAACAUAGGAUUUUAAAAUUAUUUUACAGCUCAGUGUUUGUUUUCUGGAUAUCCAAGCAACGAAGACACCUUCCAUCGUGUAUACCGUGCUGAUGAACGCGUAGUCGCUGAAGAUCAGUACAUAUAUCCAAGGAAAACGAUUGAAGUGUUUGCAAAAAAAAGAUAUGAGUUGUACAUAAAUUCAUCAAAGUCCUACUGGCAUCAGGAGUUUACCUCGGAAUGUAGAUAUGGUCAGUUUAGUGAGACGAAGGAAAAGUUUCCGAUUUGUCUGGAAAGUACCUGUGUAUGAGAUGGAAACUAUGGUAGACGACCAACCUUCCGUUCUUGAACUGAGUACUCCUAUUGAUAUCCAGCAGUCUGAUGAGCCACCUAUCUUAGAACGUAGUAUUCCAGAAGGCCAUGAGUUAUUUCCGGUGCCAGUCGCAGAGUCUACAUCCCUCGAAAUAGAUGACGACAACACCUUACCAACAGAACCAGAUCCCGAACCGAUCUUCAUGGAUGCAGACAGUGACGACAACAGUGAUUCCAGUAUAUCAUUCGACAUAUCUAACAGGCGCUUUAUAGAUUCGGUUCGUCCAAUUCAGGAACAGUCUUGGGCGCACCUUUCAAAAGACAGGGCCCGCUGAUGUCAAUCCAAGCUUUCGUGGAGAAGGACGGGGAUACACAACAAUUUCCGCUAGCAUUCGUCCUUAUGUCUAGGAAAACCAAAGACGAUUACCUACAGGUCUUCGAGGCUCUGAAACGAAGCGUUGGUCAGGUUCGGGUCGAGGGCUUUGUACUUGACUUUGAGACAGCGGCAUGGUUAGCGGUACGGGAAGCGUUUCCUGGUGUGGAGAUCAAGGGAUGUGCUUUCCAUUGGUCCCAAGCGGUUUGGCGUCGGGUCGUAGAUGUCGGUCUGUCCGAAACAUACCAGCGUAGAACAGGUGUCCACUCAUUUAUACGCCAGAUCCUGUCCCUUCAGCUUGCCGUCAUCGCAUAUCCGUCGGGCAUUCGACGCUCUUCAAGGACAGGCAACUACAGAUGCAACGCAGCGUUUAGUGGAAUAUGUCGAACGCCAGUGGAUACACAGCUCUGUGUUCCCCGUUGAGUCUUGGUCUGUCUUCAGACAGACUGUGAGAACCAACAACGACGUUGAGGGCUGGCAUUACCGUCUAAACAGUAAAGCGGGGAACAUGGGGCUGCAAUUCUACAGACUGGUGCCGCUACUACAAACCGAGGCAGACGAUGUGAAAAUGGCGAUCCGCGCAGGUGAUCUGGGAAGAAACAUGAGAGGACGGUCCAAGAGGUUGGAGAAAAGUCUAAGCUCCAUCUGGGACCAAUAUGAAGAGGGUAACAUCACAACAUCUAAAUUCCUCAAAAGAUGUGGCGAGCUCUACGGAGUCAGAGUGUAACUGAAGUGUACUACAAAGACUUAAAAACUAGACUGAAAAAUGAAUGUGUGAUUAUAUAUGUUAUUAUAGUGUAAAUACUUCUGUUUUUGUUUUUUAUUAUAUUAAGUGUUUUCUUGUAUGUUGUUCGUUUCUUGUCUUUAUUCUGAUUAUCUUGAAGUUACUUUGAAUAUGUUUAAAUUAUUGUGUUGUUUUAUCUGUUCUUGUAUAAAGUGUGUUUGUGUCCUGUUUCGUUUUACAUAUUCAGUUUUGUAUAUUAUUGAUUAUCAGCAUUUCCAAUAUAUAUGUAUUAUCGUAUUCAGUCAUACUGAUAAUAUUUAAUGUUCAUGUUCAUUUUAUGUUUAAGUAUGUUUUCGUGUCCUGUCCAAUUAUCAAAUUAUUUGUAUAAUAAAAUUUGUUGUCAUUUUAUAUAAUAAAAUUUAUUGUCAUUUUUGCUCUGUAAAUAAAUAAAAAUAAUUAUUUGAAAUUAUUUGAAAUUCUUUACUUCUUUAGCGAUUUUGACGCUCACAUAAUAAAUAAUGGCUAUUCAUUUAAUCAUUUUUGGUACAAUAUCAAUCAUUUUUCUAUACGAGUAUGGGCAAAAAGAAAUCUUUAAAGUAACAUAAAGUACAGUAUUAAUCCUAAUUGUUGGACUAAAAUCAUUAAUUUUUGCUGUAUAAGUGUAUAAUGCUCGUUUCUGUAUGAUGGUAUGAAAUAAAUUUAAUUUAGAUAUAAAUGAAAAAAA
rnacentral:misc_RNA from 1 species